rnacentral:rRNA from 1 species
UGAUAGUGCAGCCCUAAGUGGGUGGUAAACUCCAUCUAAGGCUAAAUAUGACCACGAGACCGAUAGCGAACAAGUACCGUGAGGGAAAGUUGAAAAGCACUUUGAAGAGAGAGUUCAAGAGUACGUGAAACCGUUUAGGGGUAAACCUGAGAAACCCGAAAGGUCGAAGGGAGAAAUUCAUUCGCGUUUCGCAGUCGGCGUGAGGCGAUCGAGUGACGGAACGCGUCUUCGGACGUUUUCUGCACCUUUUGUUUUUCGAUCCGAUAGCGAACGCGUGCACUUUUCUCCUGGUAGGACGUCGCGAUCCGUUGGGUGUCGGUCUACGGCUCACGGUGGAGCCCGGAUGUACGGCUUGCCGUCACGUCCGGACCCGUGUGUCCCGGCUGACUCGCUCGACGGUAUACGAAUGGUUUAAGGCCGCUCUCGCGAGCGUUCGGCUCGUCGCAAGCGCGUCAAAUGUGUC